rnacentral:pre_miRNA from 1 species
CUUUUAUUGAACGUUGACCGCCACGUGUCAUGCUUUUAUUAGACAUUAAUUUCGUGCACCUAAUUAACGUCAGCGUCCAAUAAAAGCGCAACACAUGACGGUCAACGUCUAAUAAAAACAUGACACGUGACGAUCAACUUUG